UGGAUCUGGUGAUUGAUCGCUGAGAAAUUCUUUAUUUCUCAGAGGAAAGUCCGGGCUUCAUGCGGGCAGGGUGCCGGAUAACGUCCGGCGUCAGGGGUUGAAAGAUCUCUGAUAGGGAAAGUGCAACAGAAAAGAUACCGCCUUAUUUCGGAGUUAUUCGGAUUGAGGUAAGGGUGAAAUGGCGUCGGUAAGAGCGCACCGCUCGUCCGGUAACGGUCGUGGCAAUGCAAACCCCACCUGAAGAAAGACCAAAUAGAGGUGACCAGAACGGGGAUUUAUCCCAGUUCGUGAGGGGCCCGCGCUCAUCGUCACCUGGGUAGGUCGCUCGAGUUCACCGGUAACGGUGCGCCUAGAUGAAUGAUCAAUCAGAAGAAUGUUUCUUCGGACAGAACCCGGCUUAUAGCCAGAUUCAUGCU
rnacentral:RNase_P_RNA from 1 species